GGGGAAAGGGGUUAGGGUGCCGACGGAGGUAGGAGGGCACGAGGUGGGGCUCGCACGGGUCCGAGGCGGAGGAGGAGGAGGAGGAGGAGGUGGUAGGGAAGAGAAGAGUGAGAAGGAGGACACCGCCGGCGGAGGAGAAGAGGGAUAGAAGGAGGAGGAGCGGGGUGCGCUGGGGAGAACACGGCGAGCAGAGGUGAAGCAACGGCGGUAUCUAGCUCCUCCUGCCGCGCUACUGCUGGUACUACGUAGUCUGUAGGGUCUAGCUGCUGCGGUACCUUCGGUACUCUCGACCGGCUCCUUCUCUCCCGUCCCGGCGUCCGGUACUUCCCGUACCGCCGACGCCCGCCUUCGUCGUACCCAACUUCCUCGCCGCCUACACCCGCCCCAGUCUCCAACCCCUUCUGAGCAGCCGACCCGCUGUCCUUCGCGGCCACUCACGUUAGUACGCAAAGGUCUUCGCAGGAUAGGAUGUUCCGUCCGUUCCUGCUGCAGCAGCGGGAGCGUCCAAGAUGCUAGACAACGUAGAGAAAAGAAGAGCAAUUCCUCUCCCCUCCGCCGGUUACUGUCCCUCUUCCUCGUCCGGCAGCUCCUCACGUUCGUCUUCCCCGUAUAACAAAACCAAUACUCACCAACCUCAAUAACACCGAACUACAGGACCUCGUCAGUCUGGGAAGGUUCUAUCCAGCUCGCUGCCGCUCGUGUAGGCUGCCGUUGUGUGGUUCGUUUUUUCUUCGUCCUCGUUUUGCUUUCACUCGUGGUAUCUUUCCUACUAAUAUUCGUUCGCUGUUCUUGUUCGGUUACCCGUACCGUAAAAGUUCGCUGUUCUUGUUCGGUUACCCGUACCGUAAAAUACUUUUUACUCGUCUCUCUGGUCCGCACCCUGACCACGAACCAUCGUUGUCGCUAAGGAAGUCCGUAAAGCUAAGGUCAUUGGUGUUCAAGAUCCCUUCUACAUACAAAGGAUGUUUCCCAAACUCAAACUCUCCGUGUCUUCUUCAAUGUUCACAACGUCGAAUAAACAGAAAUAUCACUGUACAUAGCUGUUUGCUAACAAUAUAAGUCAUACGAUCCCACACAGGAUAAAUAGUACGUCUAAGACAUAAUCCACGAGCUAUCUCCAUUGUUUUCGAUUGUCUCUAGUCUUAUAUAAAAAUGAAUAUAAAAACAGAAAGAAAAUCAAGACACAUCAGAAAUAAAUGGUACAUUACUAAUCAAACUUACGAAUAUCACCAAUAUGAAAGGGAUAUUUAAACAACCCAUCUAAUAUUAAGGCAAUGAACUAAAUCCUGUCAUAUACCAAGAUACUAUGUCCUAAAUCUCCUUGUAUAUACCCUAAAACAAAAAGUCCAGUGUGAACAGGGUAUAAGACAAUGAAAGGGAUAACUAAAAUCGAACGUUAACUCAUUCUACGUCCGACCCUUAAGAGGGAACACACAGUCUUAGACUUCAUAAACUGGUAAACCCAAGUGAAGAUAGUACACAACAUAGGAAGGAGAUAAAACUCUAAAUGAUCCGCGUACGUCCAAUCAACAACAAAGUUUGUACAGUUACUUUCCAUUAUUACAAUUUUAACCAAGGGGUUCCCGGUUCCACCACUACUAGUGAAACACGAAGAAAAGGAUGAACAAGAUUUUUACUAAGAAGAUCCACUACAACUAAAUCCAAAAACACCAGCACAGUAUGUGGUUAAUGGCAGCUCUACCCAUUACCAUACUCUUACCCCGAGGUUCCUACACUUUUACCAGACCUUCUGUCUCAAUCGUCGCUGUACACAGGAGUUCAUUAAAGAACGGUUUCCACUACACUUCCAAUCGAUGACACUAGUUCCUUUAUUGUACAUAGACACACCAAACAAGGACGACAACUAGCCGACAACGACGCAAAUUCCAUACAACACGGGCCACGAUGAAUUACUAUAUAUUUUGGAUAUCGACAUGUAUUUUGCGGAACUAUACGUUUAUUGGGUCAAUUUUAUUUACCCAACGCGGUAGAUCGUAAUGUACUACUGUACGGUUUGUGAAACGGUGGAUCCUAUCAGAUAUAAACAUAAAGUAAGUCAAUAGAGUAUAAAGGUCAUUUUUUUGAGAAGCGAAACCCCAAAACCUUAUUAGAAGUCCUUCAACCACUGCUCAAUCAUCUUGAAUAUCUUUAACAUCUUUUAUCGGGGAUGCCUUAAUGUUUCUCGCUCUUAUUCCUUCGGCCGUUUGAAUCACGAAGUACCAUAAAGUCAUCUUUCCUUUAUCUUCUCUUAAGAGGCAGAUUCUCCCUACCGUAACUAAAUUUCUUUCUCUCAAUGGAAGCCUUUAGCAUAACGUGAAUAGAUGUUCUAAACCCCUACGCCGAGUUUCACAUUCUAUAAAAUACAGGAAGAUACGUAAAUAGCUAUGACAUCGGACAACCGACUGACAGGGAAUGAAUAGGUUUUUGUAACUCAAUACGAUGAAUGGGUUGGUCUACAAUUUAUGAAGUUUUACACAGAAAUAUACCAGUAACAUAGCAUUAACGAAGAGGACUACACAAAAACAAAAUGUGGUCGUAUAUAAACCAGGUCUCUAUAAGUUAACAAACAGACUAUUCUAUUAUAAAAUGAAGAAAUACCUCGUGAGAAUACCGUUCGUGUAAAAAAGACCUACUUGACGACCAACCCAAAAAAGAGGUAUUUAUGCUAUUUAAUAGUAUAGAUACUUUACAAUUCUAUAUGACUUUUAUACGGGACAUACUACCACCAGACCGUAAAAUCUUAACAAAACCCGUUAAGUACAAACAUACGUAAAAAAGAAAAGCGGGAACUUCCGUAGAAAUUAUCAAACGUUAACGCUAUCUUUAAAGACACGAGUAUAGAAAUCAAAAAUAAUGUUAACCAGCUCGAUGUUGCUCACGCAGACUAAGGUUGAGUAGUUCCACUCGAGGGAGAAAAUAAGAAGAGUCCAUUACUCCGUAGCCACAUCCGGGUUAGAAAAACAAACAACGAAACUUCUCACAACAGUACAACACCUUUCCGUUGUACACGAACUAUACACCUCAACCACAACUCGGACCGCCAUCAUCUGUCCCUUCCGUGGGUAGAGUGAACUAGAACUCUCAACUAAGUAUAGAAAAAAAGAACUGGACUAACUCAAGGAUAUAUACGUUCCUAUUUCUUCUUCCCCGUAACAGCACCAACAACGAAUUCCACAUUCAGUCCUCGACUAACGGCCCUGACUACUGUUCUUGCCUCUCGUCCUACUCAUACAGUUGUACUACAAGGAACUACAACCGGAAGAAAAUAUUUCAAGUGUACGUUGAGAGGAGGUACCAAUCUUUUUUGAUUAAACUUGCAAAACAAAGAAACCACCAAUAAGUAAAGAGAAUGGUAACUACAUAGUUUUGUUAACAUAAAAGCAACUACCGGUGAACCCGAGUAAAAGCUCCUCUUACUCUACACCUUAUUUGAUGAGACUUUACCAACCAAGGGAAGUCUGUCAAAUAAUCGAUUGAUUAAAACCGACGACC
rnacentral:rRNA from 1 species